AGUGGAGGAAGCAAGCAUCUACCUCAUCAGUGAAACCGCCUACAACAAGAUCUACUAUCCGUCACACUCUCAUUCUUCAUCACCACCAUCAUCUUCUCACUCUCACUGAUAAUCCCCAUCCUUAAUUCGGCUCCUCUAAGGUAACGAUGGCAUGCCUCCACCAAGGCAAUAGCGUUGGAGAAACUUUUGGAAGCAAGAUAUAAAGCCAAGGGGCUUAAGAUGUAAUGAGCGAAGCUCACUUUUGAUUGUAACCAAGAUAUGCUUUGGAAAGAUGUAAGCCCAUAGGGUAUUUAAAUUUGUUGUUAUUAAUUUGCAUUACAUGCUGUAGAUUUUGAAUGAGCGUUUAUGAAUGUAUAAUGCAUGUAAUCUCUUUUGUAAUACGAAUUCUGUUCUGAGAAAGUGUACCAAUUAUGUUAUAUUCAUUCCUCU